AGUCCCGCAACGAGCGCAACCCUUAUCCUUUGUUGCCAGCGAUUAGGUCGGGAACUCAAAGGAGACUGCCAGUGAUAAACUGGAGGAAGGUGGGGAUGACGUCAAGUCAUCAUGGCCCUUACGACCAGGGCUACACACGUGCUACAAUGGCGCAUACAAAGAGAAGCGACCUCGCGAGAGCAAGCGGACCUCAUAAAGUGCGUCGUAGUCCGGAUUGGAGUCUGCAACUCGACUCCAUGAAGUCGGAAUCGCUAGUAAUCGUGGAUCAGAAUGCCACGGUGAAUACGUUCCCGGGCCUUGUACACACCGCCCGUCACACCAUGGGAGUGGGUUGCAAAAGAAGUAGGUAGCUUAACCUUCGGGAGGGCGCUUACCACUUUGUGAUUCAUGACUGGGGUGAAGUCGUAACAAGGUAACCGUAGGGGAACCUGCGGUUGGAUCACCUCCUUACCUUAAAGAA
rnacentral:rRNA from 1 species